GACGAACGCUGGCGGCGUGCUUAACACAUGCAAGUCGAACGGAAAGGCCCUGCUUUUGUUGGGUGCUCGAGUGGCGAACGGGUGAGUAACACGUGAGUAACCUGCCCUUGACUUUGGGAUAACUUCAGGAAACUGGGGCUAAUACCGGAUAGGAGCUCCUGCUGCAUGGGGGGGGUUGGAAAGUUUCGGCGGUUGGGGAUGGACUCGCGGCUUAUCAGCUUGUUGGUGGGGUAGUGGCUUACCAAGGCUUUGACGGGUAGCCGGCCUGGGAGGGUGACCGGCCACAUUGGGACUGAGAUACGGCCCAGACUCCUACGGGCGGCAGCAGUGGGGAAUAUUGCACAAUGGGCGGAAGCCUGAUGCAGCAACGCCGCGUGCGGGAUGACGGCCUUCGGGUUGUAAACCGCUUUCGCCUGUGACGAAGCGUGAGUGACGGUACUGGGUAAAGAAGCACCGGCUAACUACGU
rnacentral:rRNA from 1 species